CCGCCCCUCGUGUUUGAACCCGGAGUCGUCCUUCUUUCCAGCACCAUGCUUUCGCUUUCCCUUGCUGCUGCUUUGCCCUCGGUCAGAUUAGGGGUUUAGCAACACCACACAUUUCACCCUCACGGCCCGACCUCCACAAAGUUUUCUUCUUGUUCUCCGCAGCCACGUUGCAAACCCUGCCACUAGAAGGGGCACAAGGGCCGCAAAGAGAGCUUGCUACCAAACCCGACCUUUCUCUUGUGAGAACGCACUCUCUCCCUCUCCCGACCCUCACUGUAAGGCUUCAAGCACUGCGCUGUGCCAGCGGUCUUGUUCAUGUCGCAACGUUCACUUCCUCCUCUCUGUCUGUGGCGUCAUUCUGACCCCGUGCACAGGCGCACGUUUUCCAUCGCGUGCAGCAGCUCCCCAGCGCAGAACACACUCUGGCCAGCCGCUCACUUACAACCGGUUCUUUUGCUUUCGUCACCUGCCUCCUCGCUCCCGUCGAUAUCGUGCAUUUUCCACCCUCUCUGGACGAAAAGCAACACCGCUGCCGCAUGGCCCCUCUCGCCAGCAGAUAGGGAGGCGAGGCGCAACUCACCCACAAAUGAUCACCACAAGUGCACAGCGGAGCACAAAAGGUAAGCAGUCUCACACUUCCUCACAAAGGCUUUCGCUUCGGCUUCUGCGGUGCUUUUUGGCGGAUUCGUGCACGUUUCAAACUGGGCACCCUUUGCUUGUUAUACUCUUGCCUCGCAAAAGGUACCGAAC
rnacentral:misc_RNA from 1 species